rnacentral:misc_RNA from 1 species
AUCUACUCAAUCUUCCGGCUUGUAAACAUUUACUAUAGCGAUGUUUUAUAUUGGUGUACAUUGAAAUACAGUUAGAACGAUCGAAGAUGGAUAAACUGUCGUCUAUCAGAGUGUCGGGCGGGUUUUCGUGUUCUCUAUUAACGAGAGGACUAUCGCUUCGAAUCGACAGCCUAAAGCUGGAAUUCAUCCUCUCCGCCACCAAGGUACAGCAGGAUCUAGAGAGAGACCUGGCGGCUUUUUACGCCACAGUGGAGUGGCCAAAGUCUUCCAGUGACGCUCUUGUCGUCCAGUGCAGUGAUUCUAACAGGACUAGACUGGAAUACCACUCCAAUAUGUCACGUGUCCUCUUCCUUCACUUUUGACGUGGGGCCACUGAAGGUACGGGGAUUGGUUGGGGACAUCACUAACCUUACAGUAGAUGCCAUUGUUAACAGUUCUAACAAAUGCCUUGACCUUCGGAAAGGUCGAGACAUGUUAAAACAUGGACUGACAGUGACAACAUCUGAGGAAAUGUCUCAGAUUCACUGUAGAUUUAUUUACCACGUCGACGCGGCAUCCAUCGCCAAAACCAGUCACGUGACUGCUGCCUGGAGGAAGAUGGUUGUAAAAUGUUUGAUGAAAGCAGAGGAGAUGCGACUGUCAAGCUUGGCUUUUCCAGCACUUGGAACAGGUUCUUUACAUGGUAACCUAAGGAUUACAGCACAGUUUAUGUUGGAGGCGCUGGAAGAGUUCGGCAGUAAACGACCUCUCCAUCUUACCAACAUCUCUAUCGCUGUUCUAGAACAGCAUGUGCUAGAAGCGUUGCACAACGGAAUGCGAGAGCGAUAUAUAGAAAACAUGAGGUUGUGGAAUCCGGAAUAUGAAGAAAAAAUGAGUGGUGAUUUGCUGAUCUGUGGGGAAUCCUCUGAUAUCCUUGAAGAAGCAAUACAGCCCAUUAAUAGAGCUUUAUGUGUGUUAUUCACAUGAAAAAUCACUAAAGAAUGUCAAUAGAAUAUAAGCUUAGGGAUCAUUUGAUGACAUUUUACGAGGGAGAUACUACUGUUCUAAUAACAAAAUUCAUUCGUUGAGGUGAUACUAUAUGAAAUUGGAAUUGGAGAUUCAAAAUUUUCAAUGUUUAAGAGUUAUUAUCGGACAAAGAUCGAAGAAAAUGCUAAAUAUAAGAAAAUGCUCAAGGAAAAAUUAGAUGUAUUUUUCAUGUUUCGAUAGAAUAUUUUUGUUUAUAACAUUUGUAAGAGUCAUGAUGUAAGGGUGAAUGAUUUAUCAUUUAAUUGUUUAAUGUCAAAUCAAUAUGAUUUGUGAAAAUAUUUUAUUUUUUCAUAUUUUUUAUGAAAUAUUAAUCGGAGACUUACCCCUACUUGUUUUACUUUUAAAUGAGAUAUUAAAUGUAUGUCUAUUUGUAUGCAAAGUUUUGGAAAGAUGACAUUACUAUAUUUUUUUUUAUUUGCGUUAUAAUUUGAUUACUCCAAAAUUUUGUAACAGCUGUUGUUUUGUUCAUUGUGUACUGGCCUUUGAAGCCACCAGUAAAGGAAGAAGUUAU